rnacentral:rRNA from 1 species
UGGGGAAUAUUGCACAAUGGGCGCAAGCCUGAUGCAGCCAUGCCGCGUGUGUGAAGAAGGCCUUCGGGUUGUAAAGCACUUUCAGCGGGGAGGAAGGCGGUGAGGUUAAUAACCUCAUCGAUUGACGUUACCCGCAGAAGAAGCACCGGCUAACUCCGUGCCAGUAGCCGCGGUAAUACGGAGGGUGCAAGCGUUAAUCGGAAUUACUGGGCGUAAAGCGCACGCAGGCGGCCUGUCAAGUCGGAUGUGAAAUCCCCGGGCUCAACCUGGGAACUGCAUUCGAAACUGGCAGGCUAGAGUCUUGUAGAGGGGGGUAGAAUUCCAGGUGUAGCGGUGAAAUGCGUAGAGAUCUGGGGGAAUACCGGUGGCGAAGGCGGCCCCCUGGACAAAGACUGACGCUCAGGUGCGAAAGAGUGGGGGGCAAGCAGG